UACUAAGUUUGAAGCCAUUGUGUAUGUGUUGAAGAAGGAAGAAGGAGGAAGACAUUCUCCGUUUUUCGCGGGUUAUAGACCGCAGUUUUACAUGAGGACGACGGAUGUUACUGGUAAAGUGACUAAGAUUAUGAAUGAUAAGGAUGAGGAGUCUAAGAUGGUUAUGCCAGGUGAUAGGGUUAAGAUUGUUGUGGAGCUUAUCGUGCCUGUUGCUUGUGAACAAGGGAUGAGGUUUGCUAUUAGAGAAGGUGGGAAGACUGUUGGUGCUGGAGUGAUUCAGACUAUUCUCGAAUAAAGGAACUAGCGGGUAAAGCGUUUCGCCAUAGCAAGCUUGUUCUUGUUUCUUGUAGUGUUAUAUUUUUGUGGGGGUUCCUA
rnacentral:lncRNA from 1 species